CAACACUGGGACUGAGACACUGCCCAGACUCCUACGGGAGGCUGCAGUCKAGAUCUUUCGCAUGGGCGCAAGCCUGACGAAGCGACGCCGUGUGGAUGAUGACAGCUUUCGGGUUGUAAAGUCCUUUCGCUUGGGAACAAGAGACAUUAGCUAAUAACUAAUUAUUUGAGGGUACCAGAUAAAGAAGCACCGGC
rnacentral:rRNA from 1 species